rnacentral:rRNA from 1 species
UCGGGAAUUUUGGGCAAUGGGCGAAAGCCUGACCCAGCAACGCCGCGUGAGUGACGAAGGCCUUAGGGUUGUAAAGCUCUUUUGGCGGGGAAGAUAAUGACGGUACCCGCAGAAUAAGCUCCGGCUAACUUCGUGCCAGCAGCCGCGGUAAUACGAGGGGAGCUAGCGUUGUUCGGAAUCACUGGGCGUAAAGCGCACGUAGGUGGGCAGUUAAGUCAGGGGUGAAAGCCCGAGGCUCAACCUCGGAAUUGCCUCUGAUACUGGCUGUCUAGAGUUCGAGAGAGGUGAGUGGAAUUCCUAGUGUAGAGGUGAAAUUCGUAGAUAUUAGGAAGAACACCGGUGGCGAAGGCGGCUCACUGGCUCGAUACUGACACUGAGGUGCGAAAGCGUGGGGAGCAAACAGGAUUAGAUACCCCCGUAGUCCCUGAGCGGGCUGGCAAGGCGCAU